AGCGGCCUCUGUGGCUGGGUAUGAACCACUGCGGCAGGCUUGUGGGGUGAUGUCAGGGUUGGCAGCGGUGAAGAACAACUUUGUUGACAAGAAGAUUAAUUAGACAAACGUAGUGCCCAUCAGCUAUUACCGCCCCUCCUCGGGGUCAGCUCUACUCAAGCCUUUGCAAGAGACUUUUUUUGUUCAUCUUUUAAAAUGAAAGCUUAAUCUCCUCACAAGGCAGCUAGAAAACAAUUCAUGGUGUGCCAGAGAGCAAGUACCUACAAGCAGGGGCUGGAGAGGAAGGGUUCCUGCAAACCGCCAGGCCUCGGGCUGGCCCCGCCUGGGAGCGACCCGGCCUCUUCCUUCUGCCUGUACAGACCCGGCCCCAGGAAGCAUGUUGAGCCCUGAAUCCUUCCUCACAAGGGAGGACGCCCCGCUGGAGCCUGCCCCAUUGUCCUAUUAUUGGAAGAGACAAUGAAUCAAACUGAGAAUCCUGCCUGCAGGAAUCAGCUGAAGGUCUACAUUCUGCUUUGAUAGCAGAUGGGAGCCUGGGGUCCGAUGGGCGUCUGCACCCAGGGCGAUUCCGGGAGCCCAGAGGUGCCCCCCGCCCUUUGAGGAGCAAAGCACAGCGGUCAUUGCACAGUCCUCCGUCUUCCACGGAAGGAGGAGCCCGUUCGCCCCCUUGAGGCUGUCCGGUGGGAGAUCCGGGCGGGAAUGGGCAUCUGGGCUGCCUCCUGGGGCCACGCCCCUCUGUGGGCGGAGUCUCCGGCCUGGGGGCGGGGCCUGCGUCCUGUCCUUGCAGAGGUCAUCUCGUGUCCAAGGAGUCCUGAAUUGGCCCCAGGUCUGUGUGUGCCUGUCCCCCUCCAUCUGUUUUCCUCCGGGUGACACGGCAGCUGGAUGUGUGUGUGGGGGGGGUGGGGGGGGGGCGGUGGACAGAACUUGGACACGUGAGGCUGGUGGGUACAUGCUCGUGUGCCCUCACACACAUGUUCAAGACCCCUCCAGUGGGCCCACAAAAAGCUGGGGGUGGACCUCCAAGGGAUGGGCCACAGCCUGGCUCCCCACACCGCCGUGUCCUGACAGCCCACUCCCAAGAUUCUUAAGUUCAAACCUGGAGGAAGAUGUUUAUCAAGGUAGAAAAAUAACACAUUUUAUCUCACAGCUUAUUAUCUUGAUUAGGAAUGGUAAUCGACACAUGGCUUGGGGCCUCCACGUUCACGCUUGUCCUGGCCUCCAAAAUGUCAGGAAGUUAGGAGGCUCUUGGAGGAAUUUACCAGAACCAAGGAAUCCUCCUCAUGGGGACAGCUGAGCCCGUGCCCCCUUUCUUGCAUCCUCCCUGAAUGAACCUCUGCACCCUGAUCCUUCAGGGCACUUGAGGCUCAGAAUGGACAGCGACUUCCUCUAGGCCACGCAACAGCUCAGCAGGCCAGAGGGUCCUCUGCCCCAUGACCCCUCCUGGGGCCUGGACCAGCCUCCAGGAGGGCAGCUUCUCGGGGCUCAUUCCAGACCUGUCUCAGAAACAGGUGGCGGCCGCCGGGUUCAGCAUUUUAAUAAACCCUCCACGUGAUGCUCAUGCAUACUCCAGGACAUUACAGUUCUAAGGAACACAUACUGGGAUAAAUUGGAAAAAUGGAUUUUCGGCUCCAGAAGCCUGGAAAGCUAAAACCACAAAGAAUCCCAGACACUGGAAUCUUCCCCGAGCCAGAAUCCUGGGUCUGGAUAGCUUUGACUACCCAGGGCUUCCUUGGGCUGUGGGUGCUGGAACUGUUGCUGUCCAUGGUUUUCCCUAAUCCACAGCGGGCCUCGGAAAGAAAGGCCAGCAAAGCAUCACGAGUGCUUCUGGAAAGAUGGGAACAGAAGGCGGGGAGCCUGGUUAUGUCAACCUGGUUGACAGUGAAAUUUCUAGUCCAGAAGUGCAACUGAAAACCAUUCCUCUGUUUCUGGAACUGUGGACUCUUCCCUGACAAAGCGGAUUCAGUAAAACAAACGCAGAAACAAAGGCAAACAAAAUAAACAAAGGCAGAAAGCCUCCUCCAACUUGGCCAGGAGAUGAGGACGGGGGAAUGGAAGCAGAAUUCUUACCGUUCCAGGUGAAGAAGGAGGGCAUUGGCCCUACCGCUUGAGGUCCCUGAGGAAUUCCCAGUCCUCCUUUUUGCUCAGAGGAGGCGUCUUAGUUGGCCAGAAUUGCCAUUAAAAAAAAAAAAAAGAGCACAAACUUAGUGGCUUGAAACAAGAGAAAUUUGUUCUCCUGGGAUUCUGGAAGCCAGAUGUCUGUAAUCAAAGUUGGUAGGGCCAUGCUUUCUCCGCAGGUUCCAGGGAAGAAUCCUUCUUGCCACAUCUCGGCUUCUGUCCUUCCAGUGAGCCUCAGCGUCCGUGGCUGGCAGCUACAUCACUCCAAUCUCCACCUGUCGUCACAAAGCCUUCAUCCCUCUGUGUUCUCUCCUCUUCCUAUAAAGACACCAUCAUUGUCUGAUGAUGUCAUCUCAAGGUCUAAUUACUUCUGCAAAGACCCUAUUUUCAAAUAAAGUCACAUUCUGAGGUUCCAAGUGGACAUGAAUUUGGUGGGAGGGGGAUCCCAUUCAAGCCCCUACAGGGAGUCAGCAAUUCCCCGAGUCUCCAGCAGGUGUUCCCGUGGCCUUCCUCUUGGCAGAGGCUGACAUGUGUGUCUGUGGGGCUCUCUCUGUGUUGAGUUGGAUUCGAUCAUGGCCUGAAGGUCUGGGAGCUCGGAGGCUGGGCUGCAGCCCUGAAAUUCACCAAGCCUCUCUUGUUACCCUGUGAAAAGCCAGAGCCCCCACCUCUCAGACACAGCUAUGCUAUUCAUGUCCCCACCAGCCAGCUGAGGCACGAGAGACCGAAAUUUCACGGGGAGUCGAGUUUGGCUCAAAAACUUGAGUGAGCGGGAACUCAGGGUUGUGAUGGAACUUAGAGGUUUUCCUUUGUCUCUUUGCUUUUCUAACCUGCCAUUGUGUUCUUGAAGUCAUGAGCUGGCUCUGUUUCUAGAAGUGGUUGGAAA